rnacentral:rRNA from 1 species
UACGUAGGGGGCAAGCGUUGUCCGGAUUUAUUGGGCGUAAAGCGCACGCAGGCGGUCUCUUAAGUUUUGAGUGACAGGUGGGGGCUUAACCCUCGCAGGCCUUGGAAAACUGGGAGACUUGAGGACGAGAGAGGGAUGCGGAAUUCCAGGUGUAGCGGUGAAAUGCGUAGAUAUCUGGAGGAACACCGGUGGCGAAGGCGGCAUCCUGGCCCGAUACUGACGCUGAGGCACGAAAGCGUGGGGAGCAAACAGG